GACGAACGCUGGCGGCGUGCUUAACACAUGCAAGUCGAACGGAAAGGCCCUGCUUUUGUGGGGUGCUCGAGUGGCGAACGGGUGAGUAACACGUGAGUAACCUGCCCUUGACUUUGGGAUAACUUCAGGAAACUGGGGCUAAUACCGGAUAGGAGCUCCUGCUGCAUGGUGGGGGUUGGAAAGUUUCGGCGGUUGGGGAUGGACUGGCGGCUUAUCAGCUUGUUGGUGGGGUAGUGGCUUACCAAGGCUUUGACGGGUAGCCGGCCUGAGAGGGUGACCGGCCACAUUGGGACUGAGAUACGGCCCAGACGCCUACGGGAGGCAGCAGUGGGGAAUAUUGCACAAUGGGCGGAAGCCUGAUGCAGCGACGCCGCGUGCGGGAUGACGGCCUUCGGGUUGUAAACCGCUUUCGCCUGUGACGAAGCGUGAGUGACGGUAAUGGGUAAAGAAGCACCGGCUAACUACGUG
rnacentral:rRNA from 1 species